AUUGAACGCUGGCGGCAUGCUUUACACAUGCAAGUCGAACGGCAGCGGGGUAGUGCUUGCACUACUGUCCGGCGAGUGGCGAACGGGUGAGUAAUAUAUCGGAACGUACCGAGUAAUGGGGGAUAACCAAUCGAAAGAUUGGCUAAUACCGCAUACGUCCUACGGGAGAAAGCGGGGGAUCGCAAGACCUCGCGUUAUUCGAGCGGCCGAUAACUGAUUAGCUAGUUGGUGGGGUAAAGGCCCACCAAGGCGACGAUCAGUAGCGGGUCUGAGAGGACGAUCCGCCACACUGGGACUGAGACACGGCCCAGACUCCUACGGGAGGCAGCAGUGGGGAAUUUUGGACAAUGGGGGCAACCCUGAUCCAGCCAUGCCGCGUGUAUGAAGAAGGCCUUCGGGUUGUAAAGUACUUUUGUUAGGGAAGAAAAGGGAAGUGCUAAUACCACUUUUUGCUGACGGUACCUAAAGAAUAAGCACCGGCUAACUACGUGCCAGCAGCCGCGGUAAUACGUAGGGUGCGAGCGUUAAUCGGAAUUACUGGGCGUAAAGCGAGCGCAGACGGUUAUUUAAGCAGGAUGUGAAAUCCCCGGGCUUAACCUGGGAACUGCGUUCUGAACUGGAUAGCUAGAGUGUGUCAGAGGGGGGUAGAAUUCCACGUGUAGCAGUGAAAUGCGUAGAGAUGUGGAGGAAUACCGAUGGCGAAGGCAGCCCCCUGGGAUAACACUGACGUUCAUGCUCGAAAGCGUGGGUAGCAAACAGG
rnacentral:rRNA from 1 species